UGGGGAAUUUUGGACAAUGGGCGAAAGCCUGAUCCAGCAAUGCCGCGUGUGUGAAGAAGGCCUUCGGGUUGUAAAGCACUUUUGUCCGGAAAGAAAUCCUUGGCUCUAAUACAGUCGGGGGAUGACGGUACCGGAAGAAUAAGCACCGGCUAACUACGUGCCAGCAGCCGCGGUAAUACGUAGGGUGCAAGCGUUAAUCGGAAUUACUGGGCGUAAAGCGUGCGCAGGCGGUUUGCUAAGACCGAUGUGAAAUCCCCGGGCUCAACCUGGGAACUGCAUUGGUGACUGGCAGGCUAGAGUAUGGCAGAGGGGGGUAGAAUUCCACGUGUAGCAGUGAAAUGCGUAGAGAUGUGGAGGAAUACCGAUGGCGAAGGCAGCCCCCUGGGCCAAUACUGACGCUCAUGCACGAAAGCGUGGGGAGCAAACAGGAUUAGAUACCCUGGUAGUCCACGCCCUAAACGAUGUCAACUGGUUGUCGGGCCUUCAUUGGCUUGGUAACGUAGCUAACGCGUGAAGUUGACCGCCUGGGGAGUACGUCGCAAGAUUAAAAC
rnacentral:rRNA from 1 species